UGGGGAAUCUUGGACAAUGGGCGCAAGCCUGAUCCAGCCAUGCCGCGUGGAUGAUGAAGGCCUUAGGGUUGUAAAAUCCUUUCGCCGAGGACGAUAAUGACGGUACUCGGAGAAGAAGCUCCGGCUAACUUCGUGCCAGCAGCCGCGGUAAUACGAAGGGGGCUAGCGUUGUUCGGAUUUACUGGGCGUAAAGCGCGUGUAGGCGGGCUGGUAAGUUGGGGGUGAAAUCCCGAGGCUCAACCUCGGAACUGCCUCCAAAACUGUCAGCCUGGACUCAAGUAGAGGCAAGUGGAAUUGCGAGUGUAGAGGUGAAAUUCGUAGAUAUUCGCAGGAACACCAGUGGCGAAGGCGACUUGCUGGACUUGUAGUGACGCUGAGACGCGAAAGCGUGGGGAGCAAACAGGAUUAGAUACCCACGUAGUCCCUGAGCGGGCUGGCAAGGCGCAU
rnacentral:rRNA from 1 species